rnacentral:rRNA from 1 species
AGAGUUUGAUCAUGGCUCAGGACGAACGCUGGCGGCGUGCCUAAUACAUGCAAGUCGAGCGGUAAGGCCCUUCGGGGUACACGAGCGGCGGACGGCUGAGUAACACGUAGGAACAUACCCCAAACUGAGGGAUAACUGCUCGAAAGAGUAGCUAAUACCGCAUGUGGUCCAAGGACUAAAGCUUCGGCGGUUUGGGAAUG